rnacentral:piRNA from 1 species
UACGAGAUUGUGUAAAACAGAUGUAUGGUA